rnacentral:tRNA from 3 species
GCCCGGGUGUUGGAAUGGUAGACAAUAUGGACUUAAAAUCCAUUGGGAGCAAUCCCGUGGGAGUUCGACUCUCCCCCCGGGCA